ACUAAAGUUAUGCAGAUUGCCGCCUACAGAAGCAUAGAUUUCCACACACCAAGAUGAGUUUGUGCAAAUCUGUCGCAUCUGUAGGCGGCGAUUCUGCAGACAAUGAUA
rnacentral:pre_miRNA from 1 species